rnacentral:rRNA from 1 species
GCUCUUUCAGUAGGGACGAUAAUGACGGUACCUACAGAAGAAGCCCCGGCUAACUUCGUGCCAGCAGCCGCGGUAAUACGAAGGGGGCUAGCGUUGUUCGGAUUUACUGGGCGUAAAGCGCACGUAGGCGGAUCGUUAAGUCGGGGGUGAAAUCCUGGAGCUCAACUCCAGAACUGCCUUCGAUACUGGCGAUCUUGAGUCCGGAAGAGGUGAGUGGAACUCCUAGUGUAGAGGUGGAAUUCGUAGAUAUUAGGAAGAACACCAGUGGCGAAGGCGGCUCACUGGUCCGGUACUGACGCUGAGGUGCGAAAGCGUGGGGAGC